AACGAACGCUGGCGGCAUGCCUAACACAUGCAAGUCGAACGAGACCUUCGGGUCUAGUGGCGCACGGGUGCGUAACGCGUGGGAACCUGCCCUUAGGUUCGGAAUAACUCCCCGAAAGGGGUGCUAAUACCGGAUAAUGUCUUCGGACCAAAGAUUUAUCGCCUUUGGAUGGGCCGGCGUUGGAUUAGCUAGUUGGUAGGGUAAAAGCCUACCAAGGCGACGUUCCAUAGCUGGUCUGAGAGGAUGAUCAGCCACACUGGGACUGAGACACGGCCCAGACUCCUACGGGAGGCAGCAGUGGGGAAUAUUGGACAAUGGGCGAAAGCCUGAUGCAGCAAUGCCGCGUGAGUGAUGAAGGCCUUAGGGUUGUAAAGCUCUUUUACCCGGGAUGAUAAUGACAGUACCGGGAGAAUAAGCACCGGCUAACUCCGUG
rnacentral:rRNA from 1 species